CUCCACCGCGCUGGUCUUUUGCCGAGAUCUCGCCUCUGCGCUGACAUAAUCUCGACAAUUAGCGUCGAAUUUCGAUGCGAAUUCCACGGCGCUACAUUCUAAAGGCGCCUGAAAGGAUAUGCGGAAAACCAUAGCUUUUCGCUCCAAAGGCUUUGGACGGUCCUUUUAAACAAUGCAAACGUGCCUCGAGGGAGGAGAAUCCAGAAAAAAAUCUGGGGACUGACUCGUUCCUCCGAAUAGAAAUCCCGUGAUUCA